CUGGGAUAUGGGGAUAUGUAUCCUGAAACAUGGUCAGGAAUGCUCGUGGGUGCCCUCUGCGCCUUGGCUGGGGUGCUGACAAUUGCCAUGCCAGUGCCUGUCAUCGUCAAUAAC
rfam:Oreochromis niloticus linkage group LG4, whole genome shotgun sequence.